GGUAGGGGAGCGUUCUAUGUGGGGUGAAGCGUUAGCGUAAGCGGGCGUGGACUGCAUUGAAGUGAGAAUGUCGGCUUGAGUAGCGAAAACAUGGGUGAGAAUCCCAUGCCCCGAAACCCUAAGGGUUCCUCCGGCAGGCUCGUCCGCGGAGGGUUAGUCUGGACCUAAGGCGAGGCCGAAAGGCGUAGUCGAUGGAUAACAGGUCAAUAUUCCUGUACCAGUUAUGUUUUGGGAAGGGGGACGGAGAAGGCUAGCCAAUCCAGAUGUUGGUUACUGGUUCAAGCGUUCGAGGCUUUGAGGAACGGAGAAAACGUUCUGAGCUAAGGCGUGAGUACGAGCUGCUACGGCAGCGAAGUUGGUGAUGUCAUGCUUCCAAGAAAAGCCCUAUACCCGUUAAGGCAUAACUGCCUGUACCCGAAACCGACACAGGUGGGGUGGUAGAGAAUACCGAGGGGCGCGAGAUAACUCUCUCUAAGGAACUCGGCAAAAUGGCCCCGUAACUUCGGGAGAAGGGGUGCCAGCGAGAGCUGGUCGCAGUGAAGAGGCCCAGGCGACUGUUUACCAAAAACACAGGUCUCCGCUAAGUCGCAAGACGAUGUAUGGGGGCUGACGCCUGCCCAGUGCCGGAAGGUUAAGGAAGCCGGUCAGCUUAUGCGAAGCUGGCGACUGAAGCCCCGGUGAACGGCGGCCGUAACUAUAACGGUCCUAAGGUAGCGAAAUUCCUUGUCGGGUAAGUUCCGACCCGCACGAAAGGCGUAACGAUCUGGGCGCUGUCUCGGAGAGAGGCUCGGCGAAAUAGAAUUGUCUGUGAAGAUGCGGACUACGUACACCCGGACAGAAAGACCCUAUGAAGCUUUACUGUAGGUUGAUAUUGUGCUCGGGCUCUGAAUGCGCAGGAUAGGUGGGAGACUUUGAGGUAGUGCUCGUGGGUAUUACUGAGUCAAUGGUGAGAUACCACUCUUUCAGAGCUAGGGUUCUAACGCUUACCCGUUAUCCGGGAAGCGGACAGUAUCUGCUGGGCAGUUUGACUGGGGCGGUCGCCUCCUAAAAGGUAACGGAGGCGCACAAAGGUUCCCUCAGGCUGGUUGGAAAUCAGUCGUUGAGUGCAAAAGCAGAAGGGAGCUUGACUGUGAGACCUACAAGUCGAACAGGGACGAAAGUCGGUUUUAGUGAUCCGACGGUUCUGAGUGGAAGGGCCGUCGCUCAACGGAUAAAAGUUACUCUAGGGAUAACAGGCUGAUCUCCCCCAAGAGUUCACAUCGACGGGGAGGUUUGGCACCUCGAUGUCGGCUCAUCGCAACCUGGGGCUGAAGUCGGUCCCAAGGGUUGGGCUGUUCGCCCAUUAAAGCGGUACGCGAGCUGGGUUCAGAACGUCGUGAGACAGUUCGGUCCAUAUCCGGUGUACGCGCAGGAAUAUUGAGAGGAUUUCUCCCUAGUACGAGAGGACCGGGAGGAACGCACCUCUGGUGUGCCAGUUAUCGUGCCAACGGUAAACGCUGGGUAGCCAUGUGCGGAGUGGAUAACCGCUGAAAGCAUCUAAGUGGGAAGCCCACCUCAAGAUGAGUAUUCCCAUGGCAUAAGCCAGUAAGGUCACGGGAAGAACACCCGUUGAUAGGCUCUACGUGGAAGCCUGGUAACAGGUGCAGCGGAGGAGUACUAAUAGACCGAGGGCUUGACCU
rnacentral:rRNA from 1 species